rnacentral:rRNA from 1 species
AACGAGGAAUUCCUAGUAAACGCAAGUCAUCAACUUGCAUUGACUACGUCCCUGCCCUUUGUACACACCGCCCGUCGCUCCUACCGAUUUCGAGUGAUGAGGUGAAUCCUCCGGACUGCACACCUCGUGUGUGGGAAGUUGAGUAAACCUUAUCACUUAGAGGAAGGAGAAGUCGUAACAAGGUAUCUGUAGGUGAACCUGCAGAUGGAUCAUUA